CACAAGCGGUGAGCAUGUGGUUUAAUUCGAAGCAACGCGAAGAACUUACCAGGUCUUGACAUCCCGAUGCUAUUUCUAGAGAUAGAAAGUUACUUCGGUACAUCGGUGACAGGUGGUGCAUGGUUGUCGUCAGCUCGUGUCGUGAGAUGUUGGGUUAAGUCCCGCAACGAGCGCAACCCCUAUUGUUAGUUGCCAUCAUUCAGUUGGGCACUCUAGCGAGACUGCCGGUAAUAAACCGGAGGAAGGUGGGGAUGACGUCAAAUCAGCACGGCCCUUACGUCCAGGGCUACACACGUGUUACAAUGGCCGGUACAGAGGGCAGCUACCUGGUGACAGGAUGCUAAUCCCGAAAGCCGGUCCCAGUUCGGAUUGGAGUCUGCAACCCGACUCCAUGAAGUUGGAUUCGCUAGUAAUCGCGCAUCAGCCAUGGCGCGGUGAAUACGUUCCCGGGCCUU
rnacentral:rRNA from 1 species